AACAAAGACUUCAAAAGUGGUCAAGAGGGCAUUUGUUUAUAGUUAGAGGAGGAGGAAUAAUCGAUAAAUGGAGUCCUCUUUAUAGAUCUGAAAGCCCUUCUCAAGUGUUUUUGAUAACUCUUUCUUGGCUGCGCAUUAUGUUAAAGGAAAUCAACCCAAUGAAUUGGAGUUCCGUUUUUUUUUCAUAUGACAACAUGUGCCACCUAGAUGGCUUACAAGCAGCGAAAAAAGUUUUGCCAUGGUCUCAACCAUGGGAUAAAGCAUGGCUGUCAGUUCGUAAAAUAAUUGAUAGCCAUCCUAUCAAAAAUCACAAAGACGAGAAAUGCCUGGAGAAAUACAAUCCUUUGCCUUUAAAAACUGAAAUCCCAAAUGGAAAUACAAUGGCUGCUGAACAGACUUUCGUCUGGCUUUCCAGGUUUAAGAAGAUACUGUGUGCUAUGCCCAAAGUACAUCAUUUGUUUUAUUUACAUAGAAUGGUAAAGCACAGAAACAAAUAUACUGUUAGAUGCUAUAAGAGUGGUAAAAAACCUCUUUUACCAGUCGUUCGUAAGACGGAAAGCUAAUUCAUUCCCUUUUUAUUCACGCAUCUGUAAUCGGAGAUGAGCAAUUAUAUAUGCAUGGUCGAUUAUCUACAACAAACGAAUAAUAGUCGAUUUUACUAGUAUUGAA